rnacentral:rRNA from 1 species
AGCGAACGCUGGCGGCAGGCUUAACACAUGCAAGUCGGGCGGACCUUUCGGGGUCAGCGGCGGACGGGUGAGUAACGCGUGGGAACGUGCCUUCCGGUUCGGAAUAACCCUGGGAAACUAGGGCUAAUACCGGAUACGCCCUUAUGGGGAAAGGUUUACUGCCGGAAGAUCGGCCCGCGUCUGAUUAGCUAGUUGGUGGGGUAACGGCCUACCAAGGCGACGAUCAGUAGCUGGUCUGAGAGGAUGAUCAGCCACACUGGGACUGGGACACGGCCCAGACUCCUACGGGAAGCAGCAGUGGGGAAUAUUGGACAAUGGGCGCAAGCCUGAUCCAGCCAUGCCGCGUGAGUGAUGAAGGCCUUAGGGUUGUAAAGCUCUUUUAUCCGGGACGAUAAUGACGGUACCGGAGGAAUAAGCCCCGGCUAACUUCGUG